GGAUACGAGGGCGAUCAGGCUGUGACAUCUGUCAUCCCAUUGAUCGCCAGGGUUGAUUUGGCUGAUCUAGCUGGCUAGGCUGGUUUUUUUUUUUUUUUUUUCCGUGUCAGGAGCAACCGGAGUUGCUUCUGGAGUGAGAGAAUUGGCCGUCUGCAAGGACAUUGCCCAGAGGACGCCCGGAUGUUUUUGAUGUUUUACCAUCCUUGUGGGAGGCUUCUCUCAUGUC
rnacentral:snRNA from 1 species